rnacentral:rRNA from 1 species
AAAUUGAAGAGUUUGAUCAUGGCUCAGAUUGAACGCUGGCGGCAGGCCUAACACAUGCAAGUCGAACGGUAACAGGAAGCAGCUUGCUGCUUCGCUGACGAGUGGCGGACGGGUGAGUAAUGUCUGGGAAACUGCCUGAUGGAGGGGGAUAACUACUGGAAACGGUGGCUAAUACCGCAUAACGUCGCAAGACCAAAGAGGGGGACCUUCGGGCCUCUUGCCAUCAGAUGUGCCCAGAUGGGAUUAGCUAGUUGGUGAGGUAACGGCUCACCAAGGCGACGAUCCCUAGCUGGUCUGAGAGGAUGACCAGCCACACUGGAAC